rnacentral:sRNA from 1 species
ACACAUAUUUUAACUCAGGGAGACGCAUUGUGCUGGCUUCUACAGUUCUUUUCAACCACUAUUUCCAAUUCUUUUUUUCAUAUCGCAACUUUUUUAUUCCUUUCCUUAUCACAACUAGUAUCAAGCCUUGUUUUCCCGACCAAUUUCUGUCAGGCAUUUAUCAUACUAGUAUCCUUAGGGUUUUCCCAUUCCUAGAAAUCUUGCUCCGACAAUCCUGUUAAUAUCAUGCUAGCUUCUUCCCCAAUCAUGAGAUCAGAGAAUAUGUGACUUGUCUCUGAGAAAUGUGCGGCAUUUACUGUUUCUCCGGCGGGGGGACAUAUAAACCUUCCUCCACCCCGAGAAUUUGCAAGGCUAGUAGCCGAGAAAAAAAGCGGCAUAGAGCUAGAUUCCCACCCAUAUACCAGAAAUCAGGAUGGCCACUGUAACGCCACAUCUAUAGCAUCAUAGGUGAAUCAGCAUCCUGAUAUGGCGCAUAAUGGAUAUGUAAACGGGGGAAGCCACGGAAACCUGGGAAGAAGGGUUGUGGGAAAUGUGGGAAAUUGGUGAACAGAAAAAAUUGAUCAUACUGCAUUGAGUUCCCCUUCUUCAUCCAAACCCCACGAGGAAUAAAGCUGGUCGGCAACCUUAUCCCCCAUAAUCUUUCUCGCGGUGCUCUUCAUAUUAUCAUACCCUGUGGCCAGCACCACGAUAUCAGCAGCAAGUUUUGUCCCCUUUCCGUCGGCGAGCACCAGGCCAUCAGAGUCAAACUGUUCAAUUCCCCCAUCACUCUGUUUAACCUUUAUUUUCCCGUCGACAAUCAAUUUGCUGCAUCCGACAUCGAUAUAAUACCCGCCUCCACGAGUAAAAUAUUUCUUGAAAAUCCCAGCACCAUCACGACAAGCAUCAAGCUUAAAGCCAGCCCUCGUUAGACCCUCAAGCGUCGCCUUAUCCGCACCCUCGCGAAGCAUUUUCACGACAGAGACGUGUAAGGCGAACUGUACAGGUAUAGGCAUGCUUUGUACAUAGGUGUCGGCUUCGUCUGUGGGUGGGCCUGAUUCGUCGUACAUACCGGCCACAAGCGCGCUUACCCCAUGCUUCUGCGAGAUCACGAAGGUCCCGCGGCGCUGGAGCAUGGUUACCUCUGCGCCGUUCUCGUAGAAGUCUUGCGCAAUGUCGUGCCCGCUGUUCCCAGUACCAACGACGACAACUUUCUUACCCUUAAUGCCCGCGUGCUCGGAGGCAUCUUUAUAUUGCGAGCUAUGAUAUAUUUCACCCUUGAACUUCUCUUUUCCGGGGAAAUUGGGCAUUAGUGGUUUUCCCGAAUGGCCGGUGGCUAGGACGAUGUGAUGUGGAUGUACGGUGCGAGUAACACCAUCAUUCGAACGCACUAUCACCGACCACGUCUUUGACUUUUCAUCGUACUCGCUUUUUUCAAUCUCCGUGUUGGUCCAUACAUUGAGCUCCAUCACUCUGGCAUAUGUUUCUAACCAAUCUGCUAGCUUGUCUUUGGGCGUAUAGAGGGGCCAACCGGAUGGAAAUGGAAGAUAUGGCAUUUGAGAAUAUUGAACCGGGUCAUGGGUGACCAAAGUCUACAUGUGCAUGUUCAGCACGAUAUGGUCAUUUCAAUCCUUGGGAUCUGAGAUCCACAUACCCUGUAUCGCUUGCGCCAGUUAUCACCGACCCUGGAGUUUCGCUCAAUGAUCAGGGUCGGGAUACCUAGUUUACCCAGCCUCGCACCGAUCAUAAGCCCAGCCUGUCCUACACGGGCAUUUUGUUAACAUGCGUAUCACGCAAUCGCGGGCGUGGUCAAGAUGGAAAAAUAAAACAUACCUGCUCCAAUGACAAGAACGAUAUUUCUUCAUAUCCCUUUAGCCCCUGCAGGACGAAACCGAGCAUAUACGCCUUCCAAAUAUCAUCGCUAUCGCGGACAAGCCUAAGCAUCCCAGAACCUUUUCCCGUCUCAGUUUCAAAAUCGAACAUAGUCUCAAUCCAUUGCAAUCCCGGUUUAACUGUUUUAAACUGCGGUUCGAACCGCUCAGAUUCCCUAGGGUGAAAUUUUUCGAACUUUGCUCUCUCCAGAUUCUCUUGGAAGUACGCAGCUACCUUGUUAGCACCGCUGAUGGUGCGAAGGUCCCACGAGAGAACAACCAUAUCGCGCAGCCAUGCAUCUGUGAGAAAGAGCUUUUGUAAAUCGGACACAUUUGCCUGAGCCAGUGAUGUGCGGAAUUUGUCUACCCACUCCACAACAAUUUUGCGGGGUUCUGCGGGGGCCUGCUUCUCUGGACCAUUGGGGAGAAAAACCGUAUGCGGCUCUGGUGUCUCCAUUUUUAGAUCGAUAGUAGCAAAAAGACCGUUAGAUAUCUAAAAGGACGAAAGAAACAAGGGUCCAGUUUGAGUAAAAGUUGAUGUCGGGGAAGUUGGAGAUGGAAGGGUCCAGAGGGGGAGACACCUACUGUUAACUGUUGACCGGAUGCGGGAUGCAAGGACACGUGUAACAAUUAUGCACCUGAAUUGGUUAUUUCAAUGGUUUCUAACUUGCACUGGUAUCAGCUACUUGCCUUUCGAAAGCCGUGAAAACAAUCUGUAAAAUUGAGCGAAAAGCUCAUUUGUUAGAACUUUUGGUACAAGUUUCAAAUGUCAGAAAUCUAAUAUGGAUAACAAUAUGGGAAACUGUUCCGCGACUGAAUACUUCAUUCACCCAAUAGACGCAGGUAUUGAAGAGGUCAAGGAGGCAGAAAUAGUGUGUGAUAUCAACACAGCUGGUUCAG